GGCUGGUCUGAUGGCAGUGGGUUAUCAGAACUUAUUAACAUUAGUGUCACUAAAGUUGGUAUACCACCCCCCCACUGCUAAAUUUGACUGGCUUUAA
ensembl:misc_RNA Y_RNA Y RNA